CUAAAAUCAUGGCACAAGGGGAAGCAAACAUGUCCUUCUUCACAUGGUGGCAGCAAGGAGAAGUGCUGAGCGAAGAGUGGGGAAAGCACCUUAUAAAACUGUCAAAUCUCAUAGCAACUCACUCAGGAUCAUGAGAACAGCAUGGAGGUAACUGCCCCCAUGAUUCAAUUACCUCCCACUGGGUCCCUCCCAUGACACCUAGGGAUUGUGAGAACUAUAGUUCAAGAUGAGAUUUGGGUGAGGACACAGCCAAACCAUGUCACUAGGUACUUAUCCAAAGCAUAUCCUAACAUGGAGGAUUUUAAUUUUUUAAUGCUUUUUUUUUUUUCAGCUUCAUACUAGCCAAUAUGGGAAAGAGCUGAUGGUAUGCUAGAAUUCACAGGUGCCAGGUACAGAAAGCUGUACCCGAGAGAUUGGAUAUCUCUUUCCAAUUCUGUUCAGCGACAUCGUGUUGAUAGCUUGAAAUCAUCCAUGGCAGCAGAAUCUAUAUCACGGAAAUCAGAUAAGCAUUAUAGAUCGGGGUUUCUCUUCCACUCUCCCAAACUGAUUCUUUAACAUUUAUCAGCACACUACUGGGAAGAACCAUAAAUAAUGAACAUACAGGAUAAGAUCUGAAAUGUCCUUGCAGGAGUACAGAUAUGAAUUGGACAAGGGUUGGGAAAUGAAAUUUGUAAAUGUAUAUGUCUUCCAAGAAAAUGUGAAAGGGAAUGAUGAGGUCAAAAAGGUAUUCAGCAAUUGCUUAGGGAACAUUGAGAGGCCAGAAAAGUGUACUCUUUAAGGGAUGGGCUUUGGAGUUAGAUACACCUGGGUUGGAGUCUGACUCCAUCACUUAUUGUCACUUAUUGUAUGUGAUCUUGAGUAGGUCACCUGACCUCUCCUGAUUUUAAUUUCCUCAUUUUUAAAAUAGAAAUAACGUGUUGUUAUAAGGCUUACAUAAGAGAAGUAAUUUUAAAUCUAGCAUGAUACCAAACAUACUUGUUACUUUAAUUCAGGAAAUGUUCAUUAUUAUUACUGUUUUUUAAAAUUAAGUAUAGAGGUUGCCAACAUUCUGUCAACAAAUAUUUACCCAGCACCUUUUAUGCACCCAAUACCCAGUAGACACCAUUAAUAAGUUGUGGUUACUACAGUCUAGGAGUUGACAAUGUAAUGAUGCCAUCACAUUUUCAAUCAGCCUGCAAGAAAAGAGAAUUAAAACGUAAUUGUUUAGGUAUGUAUGCUAACACUUAUAAAUAUAAAUAUUGACAGAAAAGGAAAGAGAUCCAAAAUAAUCAAUAGGAUUAUAACUAAAAGGAACAGAGGCUAUGAAAUAUAGUGUGAAACGAUUGCUCUUUCUGAUCAUGCCUUAGCAAUAACUGAAAACAUUUCUCAGGCACUAGGAUACUUUGCAAAGGAUACAUAGAGGAUUAAAAAAUCUCGUUUGAACAAGAGAGAAUAUUAACAUAUGAUUUAAAAUGAUUAAAAGCAAGAACGUUUUGUCUCUUUUCAGGAUAAUAUAGAAUAGUGUGACAUAACACAAUAUGAAAUGAAGAAUAUUAAUUGGCUUACACAAUUAAAACACUAUUUGAAAUAUAAUUCUAUAACAAGGGGACUAUUCAUUUGGUUUUUCAUGAUUCCUACCAAAACAUUUACUGAAAUUUUUAUGUAUCUACAGUUGACAAUGGAGGACUUUUAACUCAUACUUUUAUAAAUAUAUAAAAAUAAUUCAUUCAGAAUCAAUUUACUCUCUAUAGAGAGUAAUAUAUAUUGCUGUACCUUUUUAAAAAUAUAAACAUAUAUAAUACCUAUAUAUACUACUGAAUGGAGUUCUGAUGUCAAUAUCAUGUUCUUUUUCAUUAAACAUUGGACAAUCAUUCUUAUGCAGACAUCCAAGGGAAGGAUCUCUGUUUUGGAUUCCUCUUCUCCCCGUGUUGUCCAAAUUCAGCUUGUUUUCUUUCCCAUUUAUAUCCUGUGAUCACUUCUCUUCUCACAUGAUUCUGGCAGAAGAGUGUAGGCUUGUGUUAAAACCACCUAGAUUUUGUCACAUAUAUGCUAUGCGAUUUGGGGCAACUUGACUUAUUUGAACUUCAAUUUUACCUUUUGUGUGAUGGCUAAAAUAAUACUUCAAUUUUAUAGGGUUGGUUGUGGAAAUUAAGACAACACAUGUAAAGUACUUUGCAUUCUGCCUAACACUUGGUAAACACUCAUUAAAUAGUGGUGGGUUUUGUUUUCUCUUUACUUUCAGGGUUCUUACUACUAGUUACAACUUGUUUUCAGUCAAUGAAUAUGCAAAUGAGAACUGUUCAUUGUAAGCAUAGCAUUUAUAGAGGUUCUUCCUUCACUAUGCUUUGCAAAAUGCUGGCUGUCUGCCUUACUAGAAAACUAUAACUUGAAAAUUUAUCUCUUGCUGUUGUUAAACUCUAUUUUGUAGCUCUCUGUCUAACCUCAGUAUUCUCUGGCUAGGUACUAUGGCCUGUCCUGGAUUCUCCAUUUAGAUGGUAGGAGUUUUUUCCUGCUAAGAAAUGUUUCUUCCUUUGGGCCCUACGUAAUAAUGGAUGUCCUUCAGGCAUGGUGGCUCAUGCCUGUAAUCCUAGCACUUUGGGAGGCUGAGGCAGGAGGAUUGCUUGAGCCCAGAAGUUUGAGACCAGCCUGGGCUAUAGAAAGACCUCUCCUCAACAAAAAAUAAAAAAUGAAAAAACAAAAAAAUAGAUGCCCAUCCCAGUACAUAAGUUCUAACACUUCCCGAAGAACCACAUUAAAUAUCCUCUGUGUAUUCCUGAAAUGCUAAGGGGAAGAAAUGGACCCAGAGACUUUAAAAACUAAAAUAUAUAUUCCUAGUUGCAGAAGUAUUUAAUGGAGAUGAGGCUUGGGGUGGAUGGAGGCAAAGAAAUUUAAGUCAAAGCAACAAAAAUUAAAAUGCAAAUAAAAAGUUUAGAUAAUGUCAAGAAGAUGAGAGGACAGAGAAGUUCAAGCAACAAUGAAGGCCUCAUCCCCAGAGUGUAAAGGGACAGAGAAAAGUGGGCAGUGAUUUAAAGAGAGGAAAAAAAAAAAUGAAGAUAGUGUCAGGAACGGUUUCAAAAGAAAGAAAUACAGAGGAUGUGGGGGUCUGAAGGAAACAAAGGAAUGAGCUGUAGAUGUCAGGCACUUUGACUGAGGUACAGACAGGAUGUGGUUCCUUGUCCUUAUAAGGGGACAGUUUUAAAAAACUACAUGUAUACUUUAUCUUUUGCAGUUCCUCCUACUGUUCUGGAGAACAUUCUUUGCCUUGGGGAGGCAGAAGAUUGUUAUAGCAGAAAUACAAAGUGGGAGGGGGUGUGUGUUGAGGCAAGGGUUGGGGAGAACAAGAUAAAAAGAAAAGCAAGAGAUUUUAAAUUAGCUCCUGAAAUCCAAAAUAGGAUUUUGCAAGAAGACACAGCUCUUAAAAACCAGCCUUUUUUUUAAGGCAAAGAAAUUCUCUGAUUCUUAUAUUUAUCACUCAUGUGUCAAGGCCUAAUGGACCUUGACUAUCAAAGUACAUUUGAUUGAAGUCCCAGAAUGGAAGAAGUGUUUGAGUUGAGCUCCUAUACAAAAUCUUGGGUCAUGUGUGACCAGAUGGGACAGAGAAAUUUCUACCUGCUGCUAAGGAGGGAUAUAAGGGGCAUGGCCAGGUCGUAUCACUGGUGUGGGCAGAACUGACCUUGUGGCCAAAGGCAGAGGGGGACAGUCUGGACCCAGAAAUGAAUGGCCAAUAUUAACAGACCUCUGAGGUUCUGCGGACUGACAGGAGCCAGGGCAGAGCUGUCUCAGCAGCUGGGCCCUAGCCUGACAAGCUGAGAGAAAACAGCUGGCAAGUGUACCAGACCCCUUCACAGUCACAAAACAAGUCAGGAUGGUUGCCCAAACCUUAGGCUGCUUUCUGAGUGAUGAGAAAAAGAAUGGUUGCCAAGAAGAAUGGCCAAGGCAGUAGAGCAAAAUUCUUUUCAUAAUAUAUUUUUUAAAGACCAGAGGCAAAAUUAACUGAUGGGUACUGGUUUGACCAAAAUCAGCUUUCCAGAUUUUUAGUGUAUUGGUCUAUUAUCACAUUGCUACAAAGAACUACCUGAGACUAGGUAGUUUAUAAAGAAAAGAGGUUUAAUUGACUCAUGGUUCCACAAACUGAACAGGAGACGUGGCUGGGGAGGGCCCAGGACACUUACAAUCAUGGCAGAAGUGUGAAGGGGAGGCAAGCACGUCUUCAUACGGUGUCAGGAGAGAGAGAGAGAGUGCAAAGGGGGAAGUGCUACACACUUUCAAACAACCAGCUCUUAUGAGAACUCUAUCAUAAGACAGCACUAGGAGGAUAGCGCUAAACCAUUAGAAAUCACCCCAGUGAUCUAAUCACCUUCCACUAGGCCCCAUCUCCAAUACUUGGGAUCACAAUUCAACAUGAAAUUUGGGUGGGGACACUGAGUCAAACCAUAUUAUAUAGGAAUUGUGCUUCAGUGAUACAUAUGUGAAAAUACAGAGUGCAUGAUAGGUCAGAUCCAGCCAGUGUAGCAGAAAAAAAAAAAAAAAAAGAGUUAAUUCCAGAGUACAUGAUAAGAGGGAGUUAUACAGCUUAUCCAUAACAUGCAGAUCAAGAAAAGGCAUUGACAAUUUAAAGCAAGACAUAUUAAUAUAUUUGUCUCUUUAUAACCAGGCAAAGGUGUGGUAUGGUAUCAUUUAAGUAUAUGGGUGUUUGAGAACCAUGAACUCAAACCCCAUCCCAACUCAUUCCUCCUACACACUACAGCAGCAUUGCCAUGAUGAGAACGUUGCUGGGGGAAAAUGUAAGUGAUGGGGGAGAUCCCAUAAGCAAGGCGACUCAUGGAACAUUUACUGGGGAUUCUUCUGAAAAACAUGUUUACGUCAAAUCUGAAGGAGAAGAGACAGGAAGAAGAAAAGGAGAAAGCACCGUGAAGAUGGAAUAAGUCAGAGCUUAAUGGUGAAAGCAACAGAAGGGUUGGCUUAACAACCAUCCUGCCCAGUUCAGUUUUAUCUGCUAAUGAGAAGAAAAAUGAGCAUCAGUGAAGGAGAGGGAAUUUAUUCACACAUGUGAUCUCUCUGGGUUCUUCUUUGAGGGGCACAAGAACUCUGGGGCUUUGAUUGAUCCAUCUGCUAGAACUGCCUAAAAAAAAAAAAAAAAGGAAAGAAAUGAAAAGAAGAAAAAGCACAACAAUAGGAGCGGCCGAAUCUAUAAAUUACUUGAUGCCAUGGGCAGAGAUGGGCACCUUGUUGCUUCUGGUCACUGCAUGCCUGUUGGAAUUCAACAGUCACAGCUGUUUCCUGUUCACUGGACUGGAUAUAAAACAGAUUCAGGAAAGGGUUAGCUGCCCACCCAAUCUAAGACUCUUGAAGGCUAACACUCAGCUCAUCCGGGCAGUAACUUUCCAUGAGGGCAGCUGGAGUUCGUUUGGUUUUAUUUGCUUUUUCACUAAAUAGAUUAUGUGGGCCAUAUUUCUAGGAGAGAUGGGAUUUGGUGGAUACCCAAGCACAACAUAUAUUUAUUUUGUGUUAAACUAGAAUAAUGUGUUAUAUGAAGAGGCACUAAACUAUAAUAAAAAUGACCUUGAUUUAACUUUGAAGCCAAACAUUUGCAAUUUGAAGUAGCUGGUAGUUAGGAGAAUGACACCUGGUACUUAUGCAGGCAUGUUUCAAGAAAAUUUAUAUUCUAUGAAUCUAAACUUAUAUUAAUGUCAAUUUAUUCAUUGACAUUUAUUGAACUCUGUUAGCCCAGUUACAGAUAGUAGUCUUCUUUCACCUUGCUGAUUGAAAAAGGGAGGCAGAAAGAGGGUAAAUUACCUUCUCUGGACUACUGGCUUAGUGGCACAAUUAGGAUAGGAACACAGAGACAUUUAUCUGGUCUCAGGGAUCUGACAUUUGAGGCACAGCAGAAGCUAUGUUGCAAUUUCCAACUCCUGUUUGCUAUAAUUGAUACCUGUAGAAAUCUGUGACUUUAAGGACAUAAUGUUGCUUUCAUGAAUCAUAUUUACCAGAUUAUUUAUUCAUGGGUUAUAGAUUAUUUACAGACCAUAAUUGUGAAUAAAGCCACUGGAGCUGAUCAUGCCAUGGCGAUUAGCAUUACAUUAACAUGUGGGAUGAUAGAAUAAAAGCAAGCAAUUUUGUCAACAGAAGAGGAUGCCAAAGCUGAACUGAUAGUGCGGAUAGCUUCUAAAAAUUAGAGGAUUUGCCAGUCCUCUACUAUAGGCCUUUGAGUAUAUUAGGGAAGCCCGAGAACACAGACAUGGAGGGGUAUAAAAUAGAGCUGCCCACAGAGAGAACUGAGUUCUCAUUUGGAACAGAAAUAACUGUAUUAUGAGCUAGAGGAUUUGCAAGAGAAGCUUGCAUGUGGAUAUUCUGCAUAUUCAAAUGCUUCACUGUGCAUUUAAGUUUUACAUUGAAUCCUUUACAUUACAUCAAAGGCUUUACUUUCUUCUCUUAUCCAUGUAUAGAGAAAACAUACAUGCAUUAUCAACUCAAUGGUUAUUUCAUCUUACUGUAACACGUAAAGAAAUUUAUUGGCAAAACACCUCACAAUGGUGUUUUGUUAGAAAACUGAAGGCCAUCUGUGCUGGAGUCUCCAGGUAGUGCUUCUUUCUUCUCUUUUGUUCUGUAGAAUUGCACUGGUUCAUACUCUCUAACUUUCAGCAAAAAGCAAUUUUGUAAAUGGUGCACUCAAAUGCUCUGAUGAAGUUAUAACUGAUAAAGGCACUGAGACGGAGAUGCUGCAGUGAAAAAUGGGGCACGUCAAAGAAAACUGAUUCGUAAUCAUAAAAUGCAGACAAGGAAGAAUAAAGUGGUGUGUGUAUUGCAGGCUGUCAGUUGCCCACUUCCAGGUUUGUUCACAGCCUGAGGGCAUUAUAUCUUGUCAGAAGUGCUUGUGGAUGCUCAUCUGUCAACACUUGUUCAAUGUCAAAUUGUAUCAGAGGGUUCAGUCUCCUUUUGGACUUCAGUAGUCAUCUCUCGGCUCUAUUAUAUCUCCUUUGGUUAAAUGCACUUUCAUUUCAAAACUGUCAGGCUUUUUUCAUGCGUCCCUUUCCCCAUGGAACUGGGAAUCUGGGCUGGAUCUUAAAGCCAUAUAUACUGUUGCUUUCUUUUAACAAUGACCUGACACAGAUCUUUAAUAGAAAAUUCCCAUUACCUCCCAGAAUACAUAUGACGCAGCACACUCUUUCCCCAACUUCUGUGCCCCUUCAUCUAACAGUCUCCCUGGCAGGGUUGAAGAUUUUUGUCUUCACUUGUGAAAGCCAAUUGCUUUACCCUUUUCUGUUGUGGUUCUUUACGACCACCACUGUCCUGCAGGGGUGCUUUUUCUCUCUGUCCCACUACUACUUCCUUUUUUGUUCCCCAGCAAAUUAACCCCCUUCUUUAAGAUUCAUGAUCUCAGAGCCCUUUCUAAUUUAUUACUACCUGAGACUUUCUUUCCAGACAUUAUAUGAAUUAAACUGCAAAUCCUUUCAUGACGAAAUGCCUAGAAAUUCUAUAUGAACAAUUUUUUAAACCUCUCCUUUGAAUGCAUAGAUGAGUUGAUAAAACAAUCUCCGUAGAGAAAGUGAAUAGAAAGUCAUAUUUGACACCGUAGCAGUUACUGCUAUGUGUGUGUGUGUGUGUGUGUGUUGGGGGGGUGCCAGUAGUCAUGAGAAGCUAGGGAUAUAGACUGUAACACCAUGGAUCGACAGAUGAUGAGAUGUGGGGACUGUAAGAGACAGGAAUUGGAACUGAGAUAUAUGUAUAAAGCUGGGACUCUUGAAGGGCAACACUUAGUAAAAGAGUGACUAGAAAAUAAAUAUGCUCACCCAUGCAAGGAAACCACAUGGCAGCGUCACUAGCUAAGACUGGUUGCUUGGGGACAAAGUCUCCCCUGGAGAACUUUAUAAUCACAGGCUUGCCAUCUCAUGGUUUGUGAUUCAUAUAUAUACUUUUCUUUAUGAUUCAUGAACCCUCAAGCUGAGAUACAAGGUGAGAAGUUGUCACAGGUCAGUGAAACCUAUGGGUACCUGGGAAAAGCAAACACACAGCCUAGGCCAAAGUGGUUUCCCACAGAAAUAGAUCCUCUAAAGAUGAGCUCACAAUCUAAAAUUACAAAAUAUUCAAGGAAAUAAUUUUCCCUGAACCAAAAUCAAUAAAGACAAUAAAUAAAUAUCAAGAUCACAAGCCUAAGAAUUCAGAUGUUACAUUUAUCCAUUAGACUUUUAAAAAGUAUGUUAAAAUGAUGAAAAGAAAUAUACUGCCAAAGAGGCCAAAUAGAACUUCCAGAAAUUGAAAAUGUAAACACUGAAGUAAAAACUGAGGGAGCAUUUUAAACAGGAUAUUGGACACACCUGAAGAGUGAAUUCAUGAACUGGAAGAUAGAUCUGAAGAAAACUAUUUGUACUGAGACGCAGAUAACAUUACGAAUGACAUAGUUUAUCUUUUGCACUGUGUUAUGUGCCAUGUACAGAGAUUAAAAUCUAGUCCCAAAUUUACACUUCCAAAAGUCGCCUAAUGUUGUAUAACCACCUUCUGAAUGAUCAGAAACUCCUGAAGGGAGGCAACUAAAAUGUAUUUAGUGUAUCAAUCAAGUUCUCACCCCAAGUUCUGCAAUAUAAGUACCAAACAGUUAAGUUAACAAUCCUGAGAAAAAGGAAAGAGAAAAGAUGGGCAUUUUAUCUAUUUAUAUGACUAUAUAUAUAACAGAGCGAGGAGGAAAUGAUAGGUAGAUGCCAUAAUUCUUACUUCUGCAAUGGCAUGAGCCAUGGUUGAUAUUUCCUUCAGUUAGCACCUUAGACUGUUGACUUUAUCAAUGAAGCCUUCGUUUCUGAGGAAUAUGAACUCUUGGUGUCCAGUUUGUUUUGGAUUGCAAGACCCUUCUUUGCCUCUUGGCUUAGUAGAGGCACCCCAGAUCAACUGGAUUCUAGCCAAAGUCUUCCUGCCCCCAAUUUGCAGCAAUUAUUCUGUUUCUCCUAGACAACCAGAAUCAAACACCACUUUGUUUGUUUUAUCUGGUGUCCUCAAGAGACUAACUGAGCAGAUGGCAGUUGCCAUGUUCAAUUUAGUGGUAUUAUUAUUAAACCCUUUGAUGGCAGCAUUUCUCCCUUGGAUUUGAAAAACUUAAGUCAUUAGGGGUAAAAAGUAAUGGAGAUUGGAAAUAAAUAUUUUGUAAAUUAGUCAUGAGUUGUAGCUAUAAAAAGGACCAACCCUACUCACCCCUUCAGUGCUGGAACUCUUGUUUCCUAGCCAGUAAUUGAUUGCUUUUCAGAACAUUUACCAAAUUCCACAGGAGAGCAUUUCGAGCUUGCAAAGUGUUAGAUACUGGCUGAUAUAGUAACUGAGUCUUUAAUAGGCAAUUCCAGCUACAUAUGGGUAAUGAGCAAGCAGAUGUGACCAAUGAAUUUUUAUAACAUUUCCUUAUUUCUUUUUAUAGUUAAAAGGACUUUCUUGGCCAGAAGCAAUAUUGUGUGAUAUUCCAUGAGGAUGAAAAAGCCAUCUAGUAAGUCUAUGAGUCCCUCUGUUUAUGCUGAGCUGUCUGGAUCUGGGGGAGGAGUUACACAGAACAGAAGCACAGAAUCCAGCACAGCACUGGGUCUCCCUCAAGGCCCACAGUAACCAGUGCCUGGCUACUUCCUGUGAAAGCUCAAGGCCCUAGGGCUCUACAAUCAGCAAGUGGUGAACCAGCCAGGCUUGUGUCCUUGCUUUCAGAGUGGCAAGUUCCCAUAGUUCCCAGAGGAAGAAAUAGAGUCCUUCACCUAUAGCACAAGAGGGGCCCAUGCAGACCAUCUUCCUAUGUUGGCUGUAUGACAAGACCUGCUGUUCAUGGCACCUGUUUGAAGCCGAACUUGCUCUGCUUCUUCUCUAUGAGAGGAGAGCGUUGUUCCAUUCAGCACCUGUGUGAAUCCUGUCUUUCUUGGUGAUGCUUUCUUGGUGACUUGCAGUGAGGUGACAUCCUGGGACUGCUGCUCCUGGUGGUAGGCAUUGUCAUGCUCUUUGCUGUCCUCCCUGCAGUGGACUCCUCCCCUAGAGGUGGUAAGAGGUGUCAUUUGCUUGACAAGGGCCAAAAUGCCACCUAUCUGACGAGGCCAGAGACCAAAUACUGGGACUGUUAGGUUAAUACCAAACUUCAAGAGCUAAAAAUCAAAAUUCAGAGAUAUUAUUUUAAAGAUAUAGAUAAGUAAAAAGGAAAAACUAUUUGUAAUCCUGCCACUAAAACACAACUACUAAUAGGAUUUUGAGGCGUAUCUUUCUAGUUUUACAAAAAGGUUGCAAAUAUAGGAUAAAGAUUUCCAUAUACCUUAUACCCAGUUUUUCCUAUUUUAACAUCUUAUGUUAGUAUGGCAUAUAUGUUACAAUUAAUGAAUUGAUAUUAAUACAUAAUUAAUAACUAACAUUUUAUUCAUAUGUCUUUAGUUUUUACCUGAUGUCCUUUCUGUGUUCCACAAUCCCAUCAGGAUGCCACAUUACCUUUAGCUGUCAUGCCUCCUAAGGCCAUUCUUGACUGUGAAAGUUUCUAAUACUUGGCUUGUUUUUGAUGACCUUGAUAGUUCUGAGGAGUACUGGUCAGGAAUUUUGUAGAAUGUCUUUUAAUUGGGAUUUGUCUGAUAUUUUUGUCAUAAUUAGACUGAGGUUAUGUGUUUUUGGAAGGAAGACCACAAAGUCACAAAGGUAAAAUGCAAUGCUGAUCACGUUGUAUCAAGGACAACAUACUAUACACAUGACUUAUUACUGUUUAAGUUAACCUUGAUCACCUGGAUGAGGUAGUGUUUGUCAGAUUUCUUCACUGUGAAGUUACUCCUAUCCCACCCUAUACUGUACUCUUUGGAAGAAAGUCAGUAUGUACAGCUCAAACUUACAGAAUGGGGAGUUAUGCUCUACCACCUUGAGGAUGAAGUAUCUGUAUACAUUAUUUGAGAUUCUUUUGCACGGGAGAUUUGUCUCCUCCAUUUAUUUACUUAUUUAUUUAUUUAUUUAUUUAGUUAUUUAUUUACAUCAGUAUGGACUCAUGGGUAUAGAUUUUAUACCUUGGGUUGUAAUCUAAUACUAUUUUACUUGUUUUCUUGCUCAAAUUGUCCCAACUUUUGCCAUUGAGAGCUCUUUCUAUUGGCUGUUGUAUGCUUACCCUUUGAAAUACCACUAUAAUGUGGGUUUGUUUUGGGGGAUUUUUUUGGAGUAAUUUUUUACUUUCUGGUAUUGCAUUUACUCAUCUUCAGUGGGUCAUAUUCAUGACUCCAGGCCUAGAAUUGGCCAUUUCUUUAAUGAGCUUUUGUCUUUUAAUGAAAGAAUGACAUUAGAAAGCAAGAUCUGGGCACUAGGGGUGUUUAUUAAUAUGGGGGUGCCAUUACUUCUAGGUCUUUUAAGCAGAAGAGAGCAAGAAAACAUAUAUAUGUAUAUAUCAACUUGUGUGUGUGUGUGUAUAUAUAUAUAUUUCUAUAUGUAACCAUCUAUACUUAUUUUAAGCUAAAACAUGAGUUCAUACUGAUUUCUCCAACUCUAAUUCAUUACCAUAGUGAUCAUUCUAGCUUCCUCUUUUUGCUUGUCAAAAACCUCCCACUCCAGCAGUGAAAAACCUGGCUCCUACCAUCUGCCAUCCAUUUACAUAUGCUUUAAUCCCAGUAUACAUGUAUAGCAGAAUCAGAAUUGUUAACCUGUAUUCCCAUGGAAGCAACUUUAUUAGCUGGAGUACAGUAGUUAUAUGCAAUUAAUUUUGCCUUUAGUCUUCCUGUAUUCACUCACUUCUGAACUUACUUAUUAGUACCUUUUCUCCCCUACCCAUUUUGCUGAAAUUGUUUCAUACAUUUGUAGUAAGUUAAAUUCUUUUGUCACAUUCUGCAUUCCAGGAUCACAUGCUAAGAUCCCCUGAACUCCUAAAUGCCUUUUUAAAAUUUUUCACCCAUUGAGGUUCACUCUUUGUGUUGUAAAGUUCCAUGGAUUUUGUCAAAUAUAUAAAGAGAUGUACCCGCCAUUACAGCAUCAUACAGAAUAGUUUCACUGCCUUAAAAAUACUGUGCUUCACCUUUUCAACCCCCAUUCCUCUCCUUGAAACCCUGUUAACUAUUCUAAAACUGUUUUGCCUUUUUCAGAAUGUCAUAUAAUUGGCAUCAAACAGUAUGUAGCCUGUUCAGACUUACUUUUUUCACUUAGCAAUAUGUGUUUAAGAUUUAUCCAUGUCUUAUUAUGGCUUGAUAGCUCACUUCUUUUUGUCACUGAAUAAUACUCUACAUUUUAUCAUUGAAUAAUUGUACUACUGUUUAUUCAUUCAUUUGUUGAAGGACAAAUUGGUUGCUUUCAAUUUUCAAUUUAAACUUGCUAGAAACAUUCAUAUGUAGGUUUUUGUGUGAAUAUAAGUUUUUAAAUCUUUUGGGUAUGUACCUUGGAGUGCAAUUGCUGGAUUAUAUGGAAUGACUACGUUUAGCCUCGUAAGAAACUGCCAAACUUGGCCAGAUGUGAUGCCUCAUACCUGUAAUCCCAGCACUUUGGAAGGUUGAGGUAGGAGGAUC